UGUGCAAAGCUUGUUGCAUCAUACCCAAAAAGACUUGAGGCUGUAAUUGCUGCCAAAGGUGCUUUAACUAAGUACGGAGUAAAGGGUCUGAAUACUUAUGUAAAUGUGAUAUUUCAUUUAUUUUUUCUUCUUAAUACAUUUACAGACCUUUCUAAAAUUCAGUUUUCACUUUGUCAUUAUGAGGUACGGAGUAUAGAUUAAUGAGAGAAAAAAAAUUAUUUAAACAAUUGUAGUAUCAGGCUGCAGCAUAACAAAAUUGAAAUAUGUGAUGGGGGUCUGAAUACUUUCAGUGUCUGUGUGUGAAUUAAACAUCUAACAAUUUUGCAAGUAUGCAUUACAUAGAACAAAACCAACAAUAAAGACUUUUACAUCAUAAAAUUGGUAUGGUAGUCAGGGCACGGAGACUGAGAAUGACAGGGAAUGAUGUUUAUUUUGACACAAGCAGAGGUGAAGGUGAACAAUUAUGAAGCAAUGGGUGAGGAUACGGUGUUGGUGUCUUGGAAAGUGAGAUGAUCCAAGAGGUGGUGGCUUGAGACGAUGGAGGAAGAUGACACACACACACGAUGGGAACAGGAGGACAAUGGAGAUCGCUGGAGAGAGUGUCUGGAGAGCAGACGAUUAUAUGAAGAGCUGGAUGGGUGUGUGGAGGAGGGUGUUUGUUCUCUGCUGCCGGCCUUGGUGGGACAAUAGCGAGCUUCUGAAGCGCAGAGUGGUGGGAUGAAGAAGAUGAGGAGUCAAUGAGUGAAGAGGAGGCAGCGAUAUGUCAGCUCUUGACCCAACCAUGACUGUAGGAGGCCUGACUCAAUUACACUGCACAGCCCAGGACUGCAAUAUGGGAUAAAGUCCUGCUAAUUAUCUUGCUACAAAUGUCAGUUUCCUAUUUGAUUCUUUUAGAGAUGACAUGUGUGCAUUCUUCAGCAUUAAAAUGUUCUGUAUCUAUGCCAUAUUAGUAAACCAUUUGUAGAUUCUGCUAAAAAGUGAUGAGAAAUUACACUGUAAAGGUACAGUAAGGUGACAUUAAACCAUUGAAACAGUUUUAGUAAUUAAAUUAACGUAAAAUUAAUCAUAUUAAUCAUAUACAGUAUCUUCAUAU
ensembl:lncRNA